rnacentral:rRNA from 1 species
GACGAACGCUGGCGGCGUGCUUAACACAUGCAAGUCGAACGGAAAGGCCCUGCUUUUGUGGGGUGCUCGAGUGGCGAACGGGUGAGUAACACGUGAGUAACCUGCCCUUGACUUUGGGAUAACUUCAGGAAACUGGGGCUACUACCGGAUCGGAGCUCCUCCUGCAUGGUGGGGGUUGGAAAUUUUCGGCGGUUGGGGAUGGACUCGCGGCUUUUCAGCUUGUUGGUGGGGUAGUGGCUUACCAAGGCUUUGACGGGUAGCCGGCCUGAGAGGGUGACCGGCGACAUUGGGACUGAGAGACGGCGCAGACUCCUACGGGAGGCAGCAGUGGGGAAUAUUGCACAAUGGGCGGAAGCCUGAUGCAGCAACGCCGCGUGCGGGAUGACGGCCUGCGGGGUGUAAACCGCUGUCGCCUGGGACGAAGCGGGAGUGACGGUAAUGGGUAAAGAAGCACCGGCUAACUACGUG